AUGACAGUUUUGUUUUUCAGUGUC
rnacentral:siRNA from 1 species